rnacentral:rRNA from 1 species
CCUACGGGAGGCAGCAGUGGGGGAUAUUGCACAAUGGGGGGAACCCUGAUGCAGCGACGCCGCGUGGGUGAAGAAGCGCCUCGGCGCGUAAAGCCCUGUCAGCAGGGAAGAAAAUGACGGUACCUGAAGAAGAAGCCCCGGCUAACUACGUGCCAGCAGCCGCGGUAAUACGUAGGGGGCAAGCGUUAUCCGGAUUUACUGGGUGAAAAGGGGGCGCAGACGGCGAUGCAAGCCAGGAGUGAAAGCCCGGGGCUCAACCCCGGGACGGCUCUUGGAACUGGGUGGCUGGAGGGCAGGAGGGGCAGGCGGAAUUCCUGGUGUAGCGGUGAAAUGCGUAGAUAUCAGGAGGAACACCAGUGGCGAAGGCGGCCUGCUGGACUGCAACUGACGUUGAGGCCCGAAAGCGUGGGGAGCAAACAGGAUUAGAUACCCCAGUAGUC